GGUCCAGAGGGCAGCCAGGGAAGAUGAGCUAGAGCUCCCCCUGAUGACACCUAGGAUUUGAGAAAGCCCCCUGGAGAGGCAGUUAAAAGCUUGGUAUCAUGGAGGUGCAGACAGACCUGGGAACUAUCCAGGAUGCAGCAGAAACAUAGGUCAGGAGCAUCUCUACAGAGGGAGAGGGAAGAAGAGCACAAGGUGGAGGGCAGGAAGAGCCAAGGAGUGGAGAGGAGACUGGGGAGGACAUACAUUAUGGCAUGGCUGGAGGAGAGGAGGUGAAGGAGAGUAGACACGUUUGUCACGCUCCUUGGUCAUGAGCUCCCAGACUAAUCGCCACCUAACUGCAUCACAUUUUAAAGCCGAGUUGGACAUUUUAACAGACCGUUCAGUGGUUGACUUGGUCCCUUCCGGGCUAAAGGGUUAUCUCUGGCACUGAGUGGAGUAGGCUGUCUCCCCAGCUCCUUCUGUCUUUGUCCCCUCGGCAGACCUGCUAUGGCACAGUCACUGGAGGGUAGCUGGCUCUGGCAUUCACAUGGUCUCCAGGGUGGGCAAAACCCACACCUAUGGCAAAAUGUGUGAAGGAACACGUAGAGAACGAUCAAUCAUCGAUAGUUAAUCGGCGAGAAAUGCUGUUGAUGGGGAGUGUGACAAAUUCACUCCAGGAUCAGGUUUAAUAAUGGGCUGGCAAAGAAUUUUGGGAAGCUUCUGGCCCAACAGGAGCACUGACAAGGAUGUUCUCAAGAUGAAAUAGUGAUUGGGUGGAGGGGAGGGGGCUUGAGCCUGGGCUCGUGCAAAGACAAACCGGGAACGUGGGUAUAUGUUCAUGGGUCAGCUCUUCCCCCCGUGAAGCCUAAGAUUGGUGAUCGAGACAUGUUUUUACAAUAACUUUUUGGCAUCUAUGUUCACUUUCCCAAGGAAAUCCAGUGUGGAAAAUUCCAGAUGUAAUUAGUUACAAAGUCCUUCCCUCAGUUAAAGAACUCGUUGCAGGCUUCCUUACACGGUGACUGUUAACUUUACACGAAAAUUUAACUCAGGCUCUCAGUCCAUUCCCUGCAAGUAUCAAGUAUCACCUUUACAUGAACUCUGGAGUGGCCCGCUUUCUCUAGUCCCUUCUCUACACAAUGUCUCUGUCUGCCUUUCCCUCCUUUUGCUGGAUCCAGAAGGGUUUGUGCGAGUCAUUUAAAUAUAUUCAGUAUUUCCUAAACAGACUGCUUGUGUGCAAGGCUAGUCACCUCCUUUAUUAGGACAUGGUACUAAUUUGCUCACAAAUAAUCGCACACCAUAAAAGCACACACCGGGCACCCGAUCUGACCUCUUCCACUCCAUGCCAGCACAACAGGCUCUAAACUGCAGCGGCUGCAGAAGCUGAGAGAGAUAAACAGGGUGGCGGGUGGGGAGGAAGUUCUUACUCAAAUCUAAAUACAGCCGCUGCUUGCUGAUCCAAGAGCUGAGAUCACUGGGAGAGAUUGCAAGGAAACUUCUCUGGUGCUGAUUCUUCUGAGCAAACAGGUCUCGGCCUGCUCCUGCCACUCAGGGGACAGGUGAAGAGAGAAACAGAGGCAUGGCCUGUGUAAGAAAACAAAUGCUAGUUUGGGUUUUAUCUUCCAAAAGCAUCGAUAUUUACUACAAAACAGAAGAUUCUUUUAACCAGUCUCCAACACAGGUUGUAAGAAGCUGAGUUAGUCAAGUUCCCAACAACUGCAGGGCCAAGGUGGAGAGGAGGCCCCUUCGGGGAUUUCCAACUCACCCAAGGGCACGUUCGUGUACAGAGCAGCCAGGAGGAGCCACUUGAACCCACUCACGAUGAACUUGAGCUGCAGAACCUAGAACAAGGGGAUCACAGAGAACUGUGCGGGAGAAGGCCAGACAGAUCUCAUCUGGAAGGUUCCUGGUCACCCUAUUUUUAUGAUGUCAGAGGCUGAAAAUCUACGAGAGAUGUCACAGCCACCUUCCCAGCAGAGGUAAGGACAGAGGACACAUGAGCUGGCAUUUCACUCUUCUGCUCUGCCAACCAGGCCCUCUGGAUGACACUUUCUCAUUAUCACAAAGGCCCUGAAAAACAGUUUGACUUAUCAACAAACCCAAACUCAAAUCUAAUCCUUUCAGACUCAACCUGUGUCCUGGCAAAGCUCUAACCAAAGCAAUCCUUGACCUAGAGCAUGGGCGCCUGGCGGGCCCUCCUCAUGCUUGCUGCUUCUGUGUGCCUGUCUACAGUGUUUUGCUGUGCAAAAGCUACAUGUGCCCACCAGGAAGGCAGCUCACGCCUCAGUGACGCUGAGCAACUUUGCAGACGGCGGCUACAACCCACUUUCUCCUCCUAGGCUCCUCCAGAGUGAGGCCAGCCCAAUCCUGUUUGAAGUUCUGGCUGCCAGGAGAUGGCCGUUUAUGUCCCCUGUCUGAGGACAGGAAAAGGACUGAGCCGUGUGCGAGGGAGAGAUAAGAGCUGAGAUUUCUGUCCUCAGCCCCUUAUCAGCCCUUCCUGCAACUUUCCAGAGCAGACGGCAACAUGACAGGCACUGAGCUGAGUUAGCUCGGGAGGCCUGGGCUCCCAUAGCUUCUGAAGAGGAUCAAGGUAGGGAGGGCGUGCCAUGAGCUAAGAGAAAGUUUUUCCUUUAUCUUAAAAUAGUUUGGCUGAAACGAAAUUGCCCUUUUCUCUGUUUAGACACACAGAUAUUGCAUCUGCUUGUUAAAGUGCAGGACAGAUAUGGGUUUUCAUAACUUCCUUUCCGCGUGGAAUGAAGCAUUGCUUUCCUUGUGUAGAUCCCUGCCCAGUUUUGUGUUACCAGCUCUUGGGCACGUAGCACAGGGCCAGCCAGUGGGGAUCCUCAGGCUGGUGCCUGUAAAGUCCUUGCUGCAGAGCCAAUGUCUUCCACAUGCGUGUGAGCCUCCCCAUCCCCAUCCUGGCUUUCUCAGGCCAGUACACACUUACAGAGGGCUGACAAUUCCAGCCCCAUGCUGAAACAGACCUAAUGAGGCCAUGGGAUACUGAUCUGAAACACGUCACACCAACGAUAACAAGGAUUACACUCUUGGGACCUAGGCUUUCUGAGGAAAGAUGGAGGCGCAACCAUAGCUGAUGAAGAGAAAUCUAGAUUAAGCAGUAAAUAUGCAUAAACUGAAUAGUUCUCCUGACUGAGUAUUGUUGCUAAAUCUUAAAUUUUCCUAUUUUGCUCACAGCGGCAGGUUCUUACCCAAGAACAAUACACUACACAGAACACCAGGAGAAAAACAGCAGUGAGACCUGGUGUUGCACACAGCUGGCCGCUGGGAAGCCGUGGGGUAGGAACACAUCCCCAGUCACCCUGGCAUUAGAAACAGGAGCAUCUGUUCCCUGGCAUAGCUGGAAAAUCAAUCCUCCACUGGAAUGGAAUGCAGCAGGGGACAGCAUGUCAAGCAGACUGCCUAGAACCCGACCACCUUGAAGGACCUCGAGUGGGGAGCAGGUGCAGUUCAUGCCACAGGCAGACAGCUACUGCAAAGACAAGAGAUCGGGGGCUGCCUUUCCCUUACAGCCUACUACAACUCCAAACUACGGAACAGUGAGUAAGAGACUGAAAAACCAGGAGAAAUAGAGCAGACAAGUGGGAGUCAACAGAUACAACUGAUUUGAUUUAAACAAUUCUUAAAAAUAAAAUGAAGCAAUCUUGAUUCUGCAA
rnacentral:sRNA from 1 species